GUUUUAGGCGUGAUAUCCUAGAUUGGAUGUUUUACGGUCCCUUACUUCGUUCUUAUCUUCGCCUCUAGCUAGCUCUAGUAAACACAUCUCUCUCUCCCGGUCUCUGAAAAUAGUUUCAUUCGAUCGAUAGUAUGAAUCCAUGAAUCGAAUAUCUAAUCACAACAAGAUUAAUCAAAUUAUCUUUUCUAAACCCAUAUCUCAUAAACCAAAUUCAUCUUCAGAAACCAAACCCAAUCUUUCAACAAUUUUAAUUUCGUAUUGAACCCUAGAAGUUUGAUUUUCUUCGACAUAAUCCAAGAAAAUCAGUCUCUUUAUUCUCUACACGACAUAUUGCUUACCUGUCCAAGAAGAUGAGUUUAUAAAACCGUAGCUUCUUUUUAUAUGUUGUUGUUAUGAGUCUGAUUUCUUAUAGAUAAUAAAAAAAAAAUCCUAAAAUUCACAAUUUUUAUGCUUCCCCAUUUGAUUCGACGGAUUUAAAAUCAUGGGUUUAGUUCCAAUUUCAGUUUUAUGAUCUGAGUUUUGAGUUAAGCUUUGUAUUUCUGUAAAUCAGGUUAUAUUGUAUUUCUAGGGUUUAUUUUUGUUGUGAUUUUGUAUUGGUUUGUCUUAGUAGUAUUCAAUUAUAUAGAUCUGAGAUUUUUUGGAUUUAUAAUGAGUUUCAUUGUGUUUUUGAUCUUAGAUAUUGAGGACCAUAACAGAGAAUAGAAGGAUUUUCGGGUGAAAAACUUCAGCAACCACAAGAGGAAGUUCAUAGCAUCAUUAAGUAGAAUUUCUGUUUCUUAUUUUCAUAAUUUCUUCUUAAUCUUCUUAAUUGAAGCUCAAAGAGUGUGGGUUACUGUGACUAGCAAUAAAAUAAUUUUUUACAUUGCAUAACAAGUCUCAAUAAGGAUGUCCUCAGUUAGACUGAAUCGACUUUAGAGUGACAGCUGAAUUGGAGAUAAAGAAGUUAACAUACAUAGGGAUAGAUUUUUCAGUGGUGGCACUGACAACUUUUCGUCAUUUUUGUUCAACACAUCUUGAACUGCAGAGCAUUAAGAAUUACGUAAUUCCUGAGGAAUUUGCUGAAGAUGGAGCGCAUACGAUUCUGAUAGCUGCUGCUGAUCCUAUCCCGGAAGAACUUCUUGCGCUAUGUCAUUAGUGUAUGUCGUUUUGAGGAGUAUAAGUUAACUCAUUCGAGCUAAAGAUACAACAAGAUGUGAUUGGGUAUCUGUUUUAUUCUUUUCCUAAAAGUUUCAAAUCUGUUGCAUUUACGGUUCACAAACUAACAACCUUGAAUUUUUUUUCCAAGGUACAAAUUUAUGCUUACCUAGUGCCAUCAUCUUACAGUUGCAGUAGUAACUCUGUUUUUGGACCUUAACUAAUGUCAUGUAUGUGUGUCUGUAAUUGGAACCAUAUUAUGUGAUAAUAUCAUUUGUUACAUCUCAGUUGGGUUACGUUUCAUAUUAUUAACUUUGAUCAUUAAGUUAAGUGUUAACCAAUGUAGGAUAACUCUUUAGGAAGCCAACUAUAAUUUUUUCUCAGUAUAUGUGCUCUUGUUUGUCUGCCAUAGUCCUUCUACACUUUUUCUUUUCCUGGUAUUUGACUCGUAGAUUGUCUUCUUUUCUUCGUAGGAUGGCUCUCUUGCUCAUUGCACUCCCAAUCACCACUGACUUCUGAAAUGUAAUGGAUCCCUUGUAAGUGAUCAUUUCGAAUUUACUUUCUAUAUUUUGCUUGUUGUUGUUGUGAAAUGUGGCGCCUACCGCAACUUCUUUUGGGUUUAGAGGACUGGUUAUUGUUAUUUGGAAAGGCUUGAUGCUUGCUGAGAUAAUAAACUAUUUGGCAGUCACUAUAAUAGUUGUAGCUGAUGAGACAACCAUUAUUUUGCAGUAAUUAAAAUAGUCACUACAAAUCAUGUUAAUCUCCACUGGACUUAUGACUUUCUUUGUGCUUUUCGGGAUCCUAAAAUGUAAUAGCAAGCUCAUUGACCUAUCAUUUUCUGACUUAAAACCAAGUGCAGUAACUUCAUAUUUCAAGUUUUUCAGAUUUCUCUUCUUCAAAGACACCACCCAACAAGGACCGGGACCAUGGAGAAGCAUUCUGGCUUCCUGGAACUUCACUCAUGUUUCCUUAAUAAUUUUCUACGGCGAUUCGUUUUUUAGAUUUAUGUAUGUUUCAUAAAUUAUUUUCAGAUUGGAACUGAUUAAAGUUUGUUAUUGGAAAAUGAAGUCCGCGUGUGUUUAGAGAAUUUGUACAGAUUUAGAACUUUGAGUAAUUGUAGUUUGAUGGGGUUGUACCAUGAAUUUAGUGAAUAUAAGUUUAAUUUAAUUUUGGUUUCUUA